UCCGCGUCAGAUCCCGUUCUUGCUGGCUGUGUGUGGACCUUGCUCGGGGAGCUGAGCCCCCUGGCCGGUCCGAAGGAGCGUUUAUAAUACAAGUGACUGGUCUUGGCGCCCUCGUAGUGCUGGCCGGCCCCGAGAGAAGGGGAAAGAAGGUCGAGAGUUCCUAAAGCGGGGCAGUAAAGAGAGAUCUUACAUCUGGGGCGGGAACUGAAGACGCCUCUGGACCCUGUGAACGCUGGAUACCGUAUUUGGAUACUGACGUUUUGAUCACAGUUGUCCCAACGUUGACUGGCAAGUAAAUUUCCAUCGUUAUCAAUUCUUUGUAGACUGAGCACUUUUAACUGAAAAGAACGGUGAUCGAACACGGCCUGAGGUCCCAUUUCCAUCAGCGUUUUCUGGGCUUCCUCCUGUGUAUUCAGUUUGCCUGUAUUUCUGCCAUGCCAGCCGGGGAUGUGAUUUGCAAUAUGAUUCAUAUAUCAGGGUUUCUUUUGAGGGGACCAUAAAAUUUUUUACUCGUAA